rnacentral:rRNA from 1 species
UACAGAGGGUGCAAGCGUUAUCCGGAUUCAUUGGGCGUAAAGAGCUCGUAGGCGGCUUGGCAAGUCGGGUGUGAAAACUCCAGGCUCAACCUGGAGACGCCACCCGAUACUGCCAUGGCUAGAGUCCGGUAGGGGACCACGGAAUUCCUGGUGUAGCGGUGAAAUGCGCAGAUAUCAGGAGGAACACCGGUGGCGAAGGCGGUGGUCUGGGCCGGAACUGACGCUGAGGAGCGAAAGCGUGGGGAGCGAACAGG